rnacentral:rRNA from 1 species
CUUGGUCAUUUAGAGGAAGUAAAAGUCGUAACAAGGUCUCCGUUGGUGAACCAGCGGAGGGAUCAUUACAGAGUUGCAAAACUCCCUAAACCAUUGUGAACGUUACCUAAACCGUUGCUUCGGCGGGCGGCCCGGGUCCUUCCCGGCGCCCCUCGGCCCUCGCGGGCGCCCGCCGGAGGUAAACCAAACUAUUGCAUUGUAUGGCCUCUCUGAGUCUUCUGUACUGAAUAAGUCAAAACUUUCAACAACGGAUCUCUUGGUUCUGGCAUCGAUGAAGAACGCAGCGAAAUGCGAUAAGUAAUGUGAAUUGCAGAAUUCAGUGAAUCAUCGAAUCUUUGAACGCACAUUGCGCCCGCCAGUAUUCUGGCGGGCAUGCCUGUUCGAGCGUCAUUUCAACCAUCAAGCCCCGGGCUUGUGUUGGGGACCUGCGGCUGCCGCAGGCCCUGAAAUGCAGUGGCGGGCUCGCUGUCACUCCGAGCGUAGUAGUUACAUCUCGCUCUGGGCGUGCUGCGGGUUCCGGCCGUUAAAAGCCUUAUUUACCCAAGGUUGACCUCGGAUCAGGUAGGAAGACCCGCUGAACUUAAGCAUAUCAAUAAGCGGAGGAA